CAGGAGUAAAGAUUCCCUAUGGGUUACUGAAAACUCCCAGCUUGUUUGGGGAAAAUGGCUCCCAACCCAGCAAUGGAAAUACCUGUAUCAUGACAAAUCUAGAGGAGCUGACCAUGAAGAAAUUCUUCAACCUGCACACAGAGAGGCUAAGAAGAAUCUGACCAGACAAGAGUUGCUGGGUUUCCACCAUUCAGUGUGUUACAAUACAUCAUAACUUUUUGUUCAAUCACAAUUCUAUGGCUGUCCAUUCCUCCUCAUCAAACUUUUGCAUAAAAACCAUUCUCCCUGGAUUUUCAGGGAAGGCUCCUGUGUAAUGUAAAACUUUGAUUAAAUACAUCUGUUAUGCUUUU